rnacentral:rRNA from 1 species
AUGGCGGCUCGGCGUAGUGGUGCGGUGGUGGCGGCGUUGAUGGCCGUGCUGGUCGGGCUCGCGGGCGCGGACUUCGCGGCGGACCGGGCGGAGUGCGCGGACAAGCUGAUGGGGCUGGCGACGUGCCUCACGUACGUGCAGCUGGCGGCGACGGCGCGGUCGCCCACGCCGGACUGCUGCUCCGGGUUCCGGCAGGUGCUGGGCGCCAGCAAGAAGUGCCUGUGCGUGCUGGUCAAGGACCGCGACGAGCCCACCCUCGGGAUCAAGUUCAACGUCACCCGCGCCAUGAACCUCCCCUCCGCCUGCAACAUCCCGGCCACCUUCUCCGACUGCCCAAGUACGUAG